rnacentral:rRNA from 1 species
UACGGAGGGAGCUAGCGUUGUUCGGAAUUACUGGGCGUAAAGCGCACGUAGGCGGCUUUGUAAGUUAGAGGUGAAAGCCCGGGGCUCAACUCCGGAACUGCCUUUAAGACUGCAUCGCUUGAAUCCAGGAGAGGUGAGUGGAAUUCCGAGUGUAGAGGUGAAAUUCGUAGAUAUUCGGAAGAACACCAGUGGCGAAGGCGGCUCACUGGACUGGUAUUGACGCUGAGGUGCGAAAGCGUGGGUAGCAAACAGG